GCAUAUCAAUAAGCGGAGGAAAAGAAAAUAACAAUGAUUCCCCUAGUAACUGCGAGUGAAGAGGGACAAGCUCAAAUUUUAAAUCUGUUAGGUUUCACCUAACCGAGUUGUAAUUUGAAGAGGUGUUUUCCGCGUUUCUGAUCAGUCCAAGUCCUUUGGAAUAAGGCAUCAUGGAGGGUGAGAAUCCCGUUCGGCUGAUCAUGAUCGUUUUAUGAUACACCUUCAAAGAGUCAAGUUGUUUGGGAUUGCAGCUUAAAAUGGGAGGUAAAUUUCUCCUAAGGCUAAAUAUUGGCGAGAGACCGAUAGCGAACAAGUACCGUGAGGGAAAGAUGAAAAGUACUUUGAAAAGAGAGUUAAAUAGUACGUGAAAUUGUUGAAAGGGAAACGAUUGAAGCCAGUCGUACUGACGGGUAAUCAACCUUUCGGGGGCGAUUAUAUGGAACGUGUUGGAGCCUAACGGUCCUCAUGCCUGCAUAUUCGUUCACCUUAGGUGUACUUGCCCGUGUGGUAGGUUAACAUCAAUUUCGGACGUCAUAAAAUGACGGGAGGAAUGUAGCUUCGGUCUCGUACUGAAGUGUUAUAGCCUCUGGUAGAUGUGACGACCGAGAUUGAGGAUUGCAACGGAUACCCCUCGGGGCUACCCGCCUGGCCUCUGAAGGUCGAUAUGGUGCCGAAAGCGUGCUUACGGUCAUCAGAAUUGGCAGUCAAUAGGUUAGAACGGGUUAAAUUCGUUAAGGAUGUUGACGUAAUGGCUUUAAACGAC
rnacentral:rRNA from 1 species